rnacentral:lncRNA from 1 species
CAGGCGCCCGCCAUCACGCCCGGCUGCUUUUUUUGUUUUAGUAGAGAGGAGGUUUCACCGUGUUAGCCAGGAUGGUCUCAAUCUCCUGACCUCGUGAUCCGCCCGCCUCGGCCUCUCAAAGUGCUGGGAUUACACGCGUGAGCCACCGCGCCUGGCCUGAAGAAAGUUAAAAGAAAAGCUUUUUGAAUGAAUCACUUCUCAUCUUCUCCGAAGUUGGAAGCAUCAAGAAUCUAAAUAAGCAUUUAUGAUGGCUGGCAUGAAUAUACAGGUGAAGACAGAACAAGAAAACAAACCAAGAAUUUCCCCUCACCAGCCACCAGCUCUGCCAGCAACUUGAUCUUAGACUUCCCAGCCUCCGUAACGUCUUCCUCCUAAAAACCUGUAACCUCAAUCUAAUCAUGAGAAAAGACAUCAGGCAAAUCCCAACUGAGGGAGAUUUUACAUAGUACCUGAGCAGUACUCCUCAAAACUGUCAAGGUCAUCAAAAACAAAGAAGUAUGAAAAACUGUCACAGCCAAGAGGAACUUAAGGAAACAUAAUAAUUAAAGCCUCUGCUUAUAAUCUGUCAUGGAUUGGAAAACUAGAAAAAACAGUUUACAGAGUAUAACAAACUUUGGAGGAGUUAAUCGACUCUAAGUAAAAGAGUAUCUAGCACGGCUGUGGAACAAAGGAGAGACUCACAAACUGUUGAAAGAAUAAAUGAAUGAAUGAAUUCUGUUCAUGAGCUUUAAUAAAACAGCUCUGAGUAGUAACAGUGGAUCAAAUUUAGGCUUCUUGAUGCAGGCAUGGUGUAGAUUACUACUUCUGUAUUGUCCCAGGAGCUCAGCACAUUCCUGCAGAGAUGAUAGGAGCUCAUCUGAUACUUGUCAGCUUUGAAUAAACUCCAGUCCCCAAGAGAGAGAAUGAGAAUCACCGGAAUACGAAACUUCCCUGUUGGACUUCCCAACAUUCUUGAAUGCACCAAGAUAGCCUCUUGCUGUGAGAUUAAUAAAUGAAUAAAUGCCUCC